ACAAAAACUCCAAACAAAGCGGACAUAUUUUUUGGAUGAAAGGGCAAAAUCUAAAGGUCACACAGUGAUUCGGUUACCGCCAUACCACUGCCAAUAUAAUGCCAUUGAGAUGAUAUGGGCGCAAAUCAAAGGUUGUGCAGCCAGGCUUAACACCACUCCGCCAUUUACAGCCAAUAAAA